GACGAACGCUGGCGGCGUGCUUAACACAUGCAAGUCGAACGGAAAGGCCCUGCUUUUGUGGGGUGCUCGAGUGGCGAACGGGUGAGUAACACGUGAGUAACCUGCCCUUGACUUUGGGAUAACUUCACGAAACUGGGGCUAAUACCGGAUAGGAGCUCCUGCUGCAUGGUGGGGGUUGGAAAGUUUCGGCGGUUGGGGAUGGACUCGCGGCUUAUCCGCUUGUUGGUGGGGUAGUGGCUUACCAAGGCUUUGACGGGUAGCCGGCCUGAGAGGGUGACCGGCCACAUUGGGACUGAGAGACGGCCCAGACGCCUACGGGAGGCAGCAGUGGGGAAUAUUGCACAAUGGGCGGACGUCUGAUGCAGCGACGCCGCGUGCGGGAUGACGGCCUUCGGGUUGUAAACCGCUUUCGCCUGUGACGAAGCGUGAGUGACGGUAAUGGGUAAAGAAGCACCGGCUAACUACGUG
rnacentral:rRNA from 1 species